rnacentral:lncRNA from 1 species
CCUUGUGUUCUGCGAGUCUCUCUCUCACGUGCCAAACUCAGUGAUCUGGGAUCACAUGCAUGCAAAGAAAAUGGGUCGAAUCUUCUCAGGUGAUUUGGCGAUCCAAAGGCCGGGAGCAAAACUGAUCGGGGCAGUUAAAUUAGGGCCUCGUUUUCUUCGAGUGUGUUUAGGUAGUUGUUGCUUGGUCACAUAUCCGUGGGAUUAGCCCCAUGCAUGUUCCAUUGGAAAUCGAUGUUUGGCAGAUCGGUUUUUAUAUACCAGUUCUGAAUUCGUCUCCCGAGAAAGAACAAAAGGAGUGCUUUAUAAUAUGUCAUGUGCUACCUUGAGUUUUUGAGUUGACAUCGUCUUCAAUCCAAAUAAACGACGGAUAGUUUCGCUUGAAUCGAGCCAGAAAGUGCGUGAUUUUCCGUGGUAUUAAUGCGCACGCCCACGUGAACAACUCACGUCAGUAGAGAGUAGAGACAGGGUGCAUCAUAUACUGCUUCUCUCUCAAACUCAAAGUCGCAACACAUGGCUGGCAAACUAGUAGAACGAGACAAGUCAUAACGACUCAGCUUAAUACUAUAGCUACCGAAAGCUAGUUGCAAGAUCAAGCGUAUGUUCAGUUCAGUUUGUUACCAAAAUCAAACAUUCUAAAUAUUGGCCGUAGCAAAAUUUUGGUAGGCAACAGACUAAAUUAAGGAUGACGAAGACUCAGAAUCCCGACUCGCUAAAAGCAGAACGAAUUUUUUGAAGAUAAGACAAUUCUGACGGUCCGUGAGCAAGAUCUCCCAUGUGAAGAUUCGACUGGAUCACUGGAUGGACACCUAGCCAGUGCUACCUGAUUACGUUUGAGUAGAUAUGAGAGCGUUUUUGUACAUGCUGCAGCCGUAGAGGAAGAAUACUUUGGUUUAGUACUGACGACCCCGUGGUCCGUGCAUGAUCUCAAUAUAGCCAACACGCGUGCAUGUGUUCCACCAGUUUUUCGCCCUCGCGGACAUGCCGCAGUUGGACUCUGUACCAAAAGAGACGGACACCCAUGGCCGCGCGAUAGGCCGGACGAGGCAGCAUGAGGAACGAGCUAGGUAGGCUGGGCCGCUGGGGUUUUAGGGCUCGGGCAUCUGUACCGCGCAGCGUCCGACCGAUCGAGGCGACGACGCUCGCAGCAGCCUCCUCGUCGUCGCCCCGCCCCGCCCCACCGCACACUCUAACUGACACGCACGGCACCGGCACGGCAGCCGACGAGGCGGUACGCGCGUACGGGCGGCGUACCUGCCGCCGCUGCCGAGGCCGUAUGGAAUUUCGCUCCUUUUCGCCCUGUGCGCAACGGGCGCCACGCACCUGGAUUUCCCACCUUUCGCGGCUCCCGAGUCGACGACGCCGCAGUCGCAGCCCGCAAGCUGCCGCGCGGAAACCCACGGAAACCGAAAGAUAUAUGGCGGUGCGCGCCCGAGCCGAGCCGAGCCGCUCGGUCUCUUCUCUUCAACGAGCACGGAGCACCGCGCGCGUUUCGGGGUAAAACUACCAUCGCAUUUGUUACCACUUGUAGAGGUCGUCAAAGGAGUACUAUUAAUAAUAGCUAUAGUAAGCUAGAGGGAAGUCCCAGAAAAUUCAUGGCACGAGUCCUCUCUGUACUCCAUUUUUUUUUGCUUCCGUGUUGUACGCUAGUGGUACAACACUACUACUACAACGCAUGCGUAGAGGCAGCGGUUUAUCUCCCUCGGGAGACGUGCCACGUCGCAAUGUCGAUCACCCGGCGACGACGGUACGUCGUACUUCACCUCAUUUGUCCUCUUGCAUAGUAGAGAUUUCUUUGGAGCCACCUCGCCUUUCUUUUACGUGGUGGCUGUCGUCUGCGUCUGCGGAUUCCGAAGUGGAGAGCUAGAGGCCGGCCGGUCGCGGCGUGGUUGCGCCGUGACAAAUUUACAAGUUUUCUCUAGGGUGCGGCCGCGGCUGCGGCCGAGUGUUUUGGAGAUGUGUUCACGAUCGACUGCUCGCCUUGAUGGAUUUGAUUGAUAGAUGGAUGGAUGCAUAGAUAGAUAGAUAUCUCUGCAACUUGGGGUUUGGGUUCCCGAGGCUGCAGCUUGCUAACAGUUACCAGUAGUACUCCAUUUCAUCCCAAAAUAUUUUAAGAUACAAAAUAUUUAAUUAUUUGUCUUAUUUUAAAAAUUAUAAUUAAUAUUUUAUUGUUAUUAGAUGACAGAGUAUUUUACACGUGACUAGUUGUUUUUAUUUAUUUAAUAAAAUUUUUAAAUAAAACAAAUAGUCAUGACACAGAAAUUAACCCAAAAAUAAAGUCUUUUUUAACAGACGCGCUAUAAUCAGAGCACCCUGCAUGUGCGGACAUGUCAAAUGCUGCUGGGGGCAACCAUAAUAGUGUCGAAUAAAAGUACUACUACCAGUACGUAAUAAGCACUUAAUAUAACAUUAUAGCCAGGUAAGAAGCUUGUGGGUACAGACGACAAAUACUACCGGUCUUUGGUCUAUUACCGGCAAGAAGAAAAUAAAGAACAUUAUUUUAUAUACAUAUGUGAAUCUUUUUUACCGGAUUUGUCUAUAAAAGAUUGUUGAUCAACAAUAUUUAUUUAAGGUAAACUCCACCUUAAUUUCUAGAGUAGUCAUAGUACAUUGUGGGUUUUCUAAUAACUACUAUCACCUGAAUCCCUGGCCCACGUUAAUUCUCAUUUUGGCGGGAUACAUUGCAGAUGCUUUUAGUUGUGAGUGGUCUCACUUUGUCACAUAGGAACAAUAGCUUUGCCUCGGUGUCCGUCGGAGCUUAGUACAUCUUGCAAAGAGCACUUGUGCAUCAUCAUUGUGCACGCUAUUGGAUAUUUUGCUCUCUCGGAUGAAAAUCCGGAGGGGAUCAUGCAUGUUGCCGCCCACCUUGUUAACUGUGUGCGAUCACUGGACUACUUAGGGCAUCUUUAAUGUACAUGGUAAGAGGGUGCCAAGAAGAGAGAGAAAGAAAUAUAAGAGGUGUUAUACAUUGGACCAAAGGUGCUAGCUUAGAAUUUAAAAGCACAUGUUGCCUCUUCUAGCACCUAGUGCUAAAGACUUUUUGUGAGAGACUGUACUACAAGUCUAUCUAUCAAAUAUUUUUAUAAUCUGUGGGACCCAUCUUAGCAUGGAUUAUAAGAUUCUAUACAUUAGAGCAAUAUGGAGCUAUGGUGCUAGUGGCUGAAGUGUCCUCCCUAGCAAAUUCUAGAGAACUAAACACUAAAGUUGCCCUUACCAAACCAACCCAAAGAAACCUCCCUAGCAAAUUCUAGAGAACUAAACACUAAAGUUGCCCUUACCAAACCAACCCAAAGAAACUUUCUUUCAGAAGAGCCCCUAGUUUCCUAAGAUUUAAAAGGGAAAGGUCGAGACCAUGAAGAGGUGAUGAUCUCUACACGGUUGUCUCAAUCUCACUUACACCAAAACCGUAUCCAUCCUAACUAGCUUUGGAGGGAAAUAACAAUUCUAUUCUUGGACAGUGUAGGCAAAGGCUUGAAAGAUGUCGUCACCGUACAACAAAUCAUCGGUGACCCUAUCAGGAUCAAGUCGGUGACCUCUACACACAACUACAUCUCAUACACAAAGGUCAUUGAAGGAUCUUCUUCCCUUUUCGAUCAUUGACAUCGAGCAAGAAACAGAAGAAGUGGCAAUGGUGUCAAGCAAUGGGUAGUGACCCUUAUUCUGCAAUUUAGAGUGAUCUUAGGUUAAGCGUGAUGUUUUAGUGAAUUAGGAAUCAACACACGCAACACGAUGAAAUAUGUGGGCGAGCUCCUCUCAUGUCGUCACCUUGAGUGCACAAGUUCACCCUCACGCCAUGCAUCUUGCCCUUCUACUACCACUUGGCAACCGAGAUUUUCCUACCAUCGUCGCCAUUGAGGUCACCCUCAUCGCCCGAUCUACAUGCUCGUGGAAAAGAGGGAGAUCAUGCGGGUAGAUCCGAACAAGUUCAUUGUGAGCUCGUGGUAGCAGCGAGGGAUGGCAAUGGCCGUCGGUCCAGAUCUAUAGCAAAUAGAGGGUGCGGUGGCUAGAUCUAAUGAGGAUACCGAUGCAUAUCAAGGAGAGGAGACCAGCCUCGUUGCUCCGAAACUCGACCCACCUGCCGCUGCUACACCUGUUUGGAGCGGUGGAAGGAGAAGGGGAUUUGUGUGGUGGCCUAGAUUUGUGCCAUCGUUGGUGAUCAUGUCGAACACCCGCUUCGGUUUGUGUUGUUGUCGGGUAGAGGGGGCACGCUGGAGUGUGAAGUUGCUAUCGUUCAGGUCACUGGAUAGGGUUGACGUCGAUACCAACGUAGGACGGGACUGACUUUUCACUUCACGUGGCUUCUAGUACAUAAAUAUAGAUGAACAUAUGAAUUAAAAUGAAACAAGAGUUUAUAUAAAAUGGGAGGGUUGAAAUGCAAAAUAUUUAUAGGUACCGCUAAAGAUAGCGCGCAUCACGAGAAGAGUGCCUUUAUCCUAGAUGAAACCUAAGACCGCUCCUAUUAAGUGGCUUACCUUAAGCCCUCGUUCUUUCAUUGACUUGUCUCCAUUAAUUAAGGUCCUUGAUGUUGAGAAAUUAAUUUUUUUAUAUCAUAUCAUAAAAAUGUUUUUUUUCAAAUGUAAUCAUAUAAAUUGACUUCAUUAAAAUGCUAUUUUAACCAAUAUGCUAGGGCUAGAAUGCUAUUCUCUCCCCGUCUAAUUCAUUUUGUGCAUAUACUACAUCUGUCCCACAAAGAUUCCAUUUUUAGCUUUAUUUAUCCUAUAAAGAAUGCAUUUAUUAAGCAACUAUUGUAUUAGAGUUUGGUAAAGUGGAUGAAAUGCAUUGAGAUUUGAAAAGAUGAAUCACAUACAUGUAGUCAUGUGUAUCGCCAUCAAAAUUCAUCAAAGAUAUGUCCACACAACUCGAAAUUCAUCAAGCAAUGCAAGGUUUGAUAAUACAAAUUUUGCACACACUUGCAUUUUAGGGUUUACAUUAUGAUCUCCAAAAUAAGAAAAAAGGAGAAUGGAAGAAGAUACAUUGGUGCAUGAUUUCCUCUCAAAUUCUGAAGAAAAAGUAUCACAUACGAUUGGAUUAAGAGAGUGCUUUCUUGGGGGUUUAGAGAGUUUUGCCUCAGGUGUGAGAGGAGAGGAGAGGAGAGGAGAGGAGUGGUUAUGAAGGAGAGGAAUAAGGGAGGCUGGUUGGGGCUAAUGAGGCUAGGGACAAUACCAGCCACUUUAGCGCCAAGGGAUGCCGCCAACCCUAUUGACGCCAAGCGUCCUCGUCCAUGUUAGUUGUUUGUCCACUGCGACACCUACCUUAUUGCCAAGAACUUUGCUUCGAGAAAUAGAUCUUUUUUCGGUUAAAAUUUUUUAGGAGUCUAUUUGAAAAAAAACAUUUCAUAAAAGGAUGACAAUAUAAACAACCAGGGAGCACUUUAAUGAUAAUAACAUGGUCCGUUAUGUGGAGUUUUACCUCCACAUUUCACAGGGUGCCCGUAGUUCUGCGCUUCUCAGCUAGGUCAUAGUAGGAACAAUUGUCAAUACUAAUAUUCUACUUAUACGUCGUUCCAAGAACCAUCGUGAAUGCCUUUUCUUCUUCAUCACCGACAAGCUCGUAGGUAUAAUUUCCUACUCCAAACGAGCUCAAACGACGAUAUCGAUAUGACUAAAACAACAUGCUUUGGCAUCAAGGGUAGCCAUGGUGGGGAGUAGUGGAUAGUUGGAGAAGAAAUGAGUGAGCAGGAGGUGGAGCUCAAGGGCAUUUUGUCAAUUCACAAUAUAAAACAGGACAAAAAUCAUCUAGAACUUCAAACAAAGAAAAUUAUACAGAAUUGUAUUUUACCAAAACCCGUGCUACAUCCAAGUUUGUCCUCGACGCUAGUUGGGUUCCUACCACAAUGUCCAUGGCAGUGCCUGGCAUGACAAUGGAUGGAUAGCUACGCAAUGCAUGCUUGGUGUUCCCGUGCUCCUCUUUGCGUUUGACCAGUUGGGCUGGUAGUACUUCUCGAGGAGAGGCUGACGUAGCGACGCGAACUCGUAGUAGUAGCGAUAGGAGUAGUAGCUAUGCAAGAGUAGCUGGUGGUCGAUGGGCGUAGCUGAUCUAUAGCUGAGCACACGAUCUACAGCGUUCAUGUGAGCAAGCAAUUGUGGCAGAUGUUGCAAGACCACACCGCAAUACAGGGUAUUGAUGAGUAUUGACUGAUCUCUUGCGUACGUCACAUAAUAGAGAUACUGCUACCACUCCUACUACCCUCUCAGUCCUAAAAUGAAAAACACACGGUUAUCUCAGUUUGUGAAAGUAAAAGCAAAUAUAUUAAAACCAGAUAAACUAGAGAACGCAUGUCUUGAGAUUUGAUAAAGUGAAGGUAUGUUGUAUUGGUACGGAGAAAAUGAAGGAUUUCGAGAGAGGGAGCAUCUUGCACCGAAGCACAUAUUAUAAUGUACCCUCUGUCUGGCCAUAAAACAUGAAUUCCAUAGUAGAGUAGUUGUACUAGUAUUGCCACUAUUCUACAGAAAACAAUUUAAUUCCGGAAAAAUGAUGCCAUGCUCCAGUAUUCGGAUCUGCUCGUCUCGUGGGCUCCCGAUGUUUCAUAGAUUGUGGGUCGGUCAUCUCCAAGGCCCAACAAGCAAGGUAGCCCCAUGUAGAAGAAGAGUAUAAAAAGAGCCCUAACAGCUGACAACGCAGAGCCCAACUUUCCACUGUAUCUAGCAGACUAGCCUAUAAUUUGUAUUACAUUUGUUUCAGAUUAUAUAUAAGACGUUUUAGAUUUCUCUAGAUCCAUAUAGAUACUAAUUAAUCUAAAUAUUAUAUAGAUGGAUGUAUGGAAAACUGAAACAUCUUAUCUUAUAACAUAAAAACGAGGGAGUAGCAAGCAAUAAAAAGUAUCGCGCAUGGGAGAAUUUUCCUCUGCAUUUUAAUCGUGCGAGUACAAACUUGUAUGCUCCACUUCACUCUUCACAAAUACAAUCACAUUAACAAAACUUUCAGUAUGUGUUAACGGGUUCAGCAUCAAAGAAUGUCCUGCAGUUGUUUCAAUCUUGGAUCCAACUCUGUUGCAUUGCCCAUUUCGUAGUCAUCUGCAGGAGUCCGGUAUGCAUCGGCAAUGGCCUUCCCUUUGUCCAGUACUGCUGAUGGCACGGUUUGAAGGAGGCUGAGAAGACAAGAACAAUGUAAAUUUCCAGUUAUUAUUCCGUUCGAUUUGAAGAGAGAAAAAGGUUGUCAUAAUAGAUAUCAGCACUGGUUUUACUUGUCUAAAGCUCCAAGGGCAACACUGAUUUUUCUCCUCAUGACAUCGACAGACGCUGAUGGGUUGUUCCGUGAUGCUUGUAGUAGCAGCGAGUCAAGAUCUUCCAAUGCUCUAGGAUAGAAUGAAUUUUCUGUCACUUAUCAGUUAUCAUUACCUGCUAUUUUUAUUGAUCAAAGUAUACAUUUUGAAAUAUGUCAAUCAUUUUUUUUACCGUAAGCAUUCGUCUACGGCAUCAGAAGCAGCUUUGCCUUGACCGCUGCUGGAAGCAUACUGCGCCACCUGCAUUUUGUUUGUAUCGAGCACACAUAGAAAUCAUCAAAUGGACUAUUCAUAUCCUCUGUAUGUUUGAACCAGUUAUGGCAAUGUGCAUAAUUUGAAAAAGGAAAAUAUCUUGGUGUUCAGGAAUAAAAAGGGCUAGCACAACACAGUUGAUACUUGCUAAUUAAUCUUAACUCGUGAAUGUACAGACUAUCCACAAGAAUAUCGAUGCCAUUUUAACUUCAGAAUCAGAACAGCAUUCAGAAUAUGAUCAGUAUCUUACUGCUCGAAUGUUGAUACGCAGAGAAGAUGCUGGACCAGAACGAAGUAAUGAUCUGCUCUCAUCAUACCUUGGCUUCUCAAAUUCUAAUGAUUUCUCUGCAAUUGAACAUACAUAUCCAUGAAUUUCCUAGGUAUAGGUUGUAUCACAUAUAGCACUGCAUCAUAGCUCUGCAAUUAAACAUACAUAUCGGAUGUAUGAAGGCGCUUUUCUAGCAGUAAAUUAUAAUGGCUUGCAUAUUUCAACACACAAAAUUCACUAUGAUAAGAAGGCAAUGAAAUCGAAGGGAAAAACUGCAGAAAAAUAUACCAUGGAUGGUACACCUCUCACAAUCUGAAAUAUGGUCAAAAAGAAGAUCCGUUGUGUGCAAGAUUUCUAUAUAGCUUUUUUACCAUCCUUGAUAAUUCACUUUGAAGUAGCACAUUUUACAGUGUAAAAGCCUAUUACCACCAGGUAAUAGAUACCUUGAUGCACCAAGAUUUUAUACUAAAAAUUUGGUAACUCUAGGAACUUUUUAAGGACCAUAAUAUUUGUCUUUAUAUAAACCUGAAGUAAUCGAUGCUUAUAUUUGUAUACUAGUGUGAUAUUGAUGAAUCUUGCUUGUUUUCCUGCAAGCUCUGGAGUGUUAUAUACUGCUAACGAUCAAAGUUGCCUAAGUGCCAAUCAAUAAGCAUGAAGAUAUUUUAGGUGUCAAACCCAUGGAUUACUCUUACCUAGAUCCCUAAACUGGUCCUGAGUCAACAGUACUGCCGGAACAUAGGUCUCCAAGGGCUCCAGCUUCUUCCUAACAUUGUAAAUUCAAGAAGCAAAAAACGUCGGCGGAAAUCAAAAGCUGCAACCUGUGGCAAGGAAAUGCAAAAAUUUAUGAAGAGAGAGAGCAAGAAACAAUCAGUGAACGGAUUAUUACUUCUUGACGUAUUUGUCGAACGGGUUCGCGUCUGCCCCUGCAACGGUUGCGAAGCAAUCAGUGACGAAUAAUUCGCACGCCGAACAGCGGACAGCAUGUGCACGCGGCUGGACUUACGGCCGGCGGUAGUGGCGAGCCAGGAGGCGACGCCGGCGAGGGAGACGGCGCGGCGGCCGAUUCCACCGAACGUCGGCGAGGGGGCGGACGCCGCGGAGGCGGUCUGGCAGCAUUGGCGGCGGGGGGGGGGGGGCCCCCGGGGGGGCGGGNNNNNNNNNNNNNNNNNNNNNNNNNNNNNNNNNNNNNNNNNNNNNNNNNNNNNNNNNNNNNNNNNNNNNNNNNNNNNNNNNNNNNNNNNNNNNNNNNNNNNNNNNNNNNNNNNNNNNNNNNNNNNNNNNNNNNNNNNNNNNNNNNNNNNNNNNNNNNNNNNNNNNNNNNNNNNNNNNNNNNNNNNNNNNNNNNNNNNNNNNNNNNNNNNNNNNNNNNNNNNNNNNNNNNNNNNNNNNNNNNNNNNNNNNNNNNNNNNNNNNNNNNNNNNNNNNNNGGAGGAGCGAGGUGGACAUGUUCCCGGGGCUUGCCUGCCUGCUGCGACGCGGGGGAGGGCCUCCGGGCUCCGGCUAUGGUUAGUUCACUUCAGCCCCUUUUGCACGAGAACCACUCGUGUCGCGUUUUCAUUUUUUUCUGACGACACGGCGGCCUGCGAACGAAAGCUCGUGGGUGUGCUCGGUGCAUAUGCACGCUACGUGGGCUCAGGGUUGCCAGAAACAUUCGGCCGUUUUCCGUGGGAAGAAAAGACGGAGAUUAUAAAAUAUUUUUGUAUAUUUAAUUAAGUAAACAAUAAAAUUAAUUAGUGUAAAUAUAUUUUAGAAAGUCGAGACGAUGAAAAUCUUUUUUACCGUACCUACCUCGAGCUAGCCGUUACUCACAUGAUUCAAUCAUUCAAACACCGAAGACUUCAGUGGAAACCACCGAGUAUCCAGUGGCACUAAAUUGCCUGGAAACACACUCCGAAGUAUCCAUCGACAACCACUAGGACUCUGGUGAACCCUCUGCAUAUAGGUUUCUUACCGCGGUCUCUAAUCCUUAUGACUGGAUACUCCCGAGCAAGAUCACUACAUGACACAUGCAAUUUGUUGUGAGUGUUCAAGAGUGGUCACCGAAUACCUCGAACAACUUAUAGGAAGAAGUUUUUUAGCACAGGGGUAUAUGUACACUCGUUGCUUGCAUGUUAUCUAAAUAGUCAUUAAAAAUUAUGAAAAAAAUUGACAAGAUAAUUUAACAUGAGUUAUAUCACUCAAUCAACAUGCAAGUUUAAAUUCAACUUCUAUAAGUAGUAUCAAAAAUAACAAAACAAUUAUGAAUAUGCGUAUAAUUAGUUUCAGUUUUGUUUUUUUUUCUACAACUUGUAAAUUUAAAUUUAAACUUGUAUGUUUGUAGAGUGAUAUAAAUCAUAUUAAUCUAUCUUGUCAAUUUUUUUUCAUAUUUUUAAUGACUAUUUAGAUAGCAUACAACCACACGGGUGUAUCUACACCCGUGUGCUAAAAACUUUUUCCCACAACUUCUACACUCAAAACAAACCCAAGUGUAUGGUGUGCAUAGUGUAUCACUCUUCUAACACUAUGAAUUCAACUAGAGCACUUGGUUUUAGUUGCAACAUCGAUUCAAACCUCUAUUUAGAGUAAAUGUACUUAUGGAUUCAACAAAAGGAAAAAAUAUACAAUUUUUAAUCUUUGAGCCCUUCGACUUUUCAUUUUCUUUUUUGGGUUCUUCUUUGUCACGUGCAAUUGCGUUGGGACUAUUCUCAUUACUAAACUUAAUGUACGUGUCAGUCCCCUAAAUAUUUUAUCACUUUAUAACCAAAACCCACUAGGGUGCAAUCAUGUACUUUUAUGUUUAAUUGCUGAAAUUAUUAGUAAUAGUCCAUAAGAUUUAAUCCAAAAAUAAACAAUGUAAAUCAUGAAGACGAUAUACACCCAAGAAAACAAAUUACUCUCGGUGAGAGAGAUAAACCAAAUAGACAUGUAAUAUUUGAAAAUAGAAUGAACAUACAUGUCUAUCUCAUUUGUGUAUAGAUGCAAAGCAAUCAAAACUUUAAUUGAGAAAGUAAAAAAAACAUAUGGAAUCAGACAAGAAAAGGAAAAAAAAUCAGGUUUAUUUUAAUCGGCACUGCUGCCGUCCGAUCCCUAUAAGAAUACUGUACAAGAUUAAACUAAAAAAAUUUCUCAUAUGUCUAAAUAUUUAAUUUAUUUUACGGUGAAUGCUAUGUUAUUUGCAACAGGUUAUGUACAAUCACAAAUAAGUAAUAUAUAUGAAAUAUAUGUGAUUGAAGAAGACGAAUAAAAGAAGAGAUAUUAUGCCAUAAGUUUUGUGUAACUUUGACUUAUUGUAGUAUUAUUCUUAGAUCUAUUAUGUUAUUAAGAUAAUAUAAAAGGAGCCGCUGUGUAAAUUUGCGUGAAGUACCAAAUGUAAAAAAUUGAUUAGGUUAGGUUUGAGUUUAAAACUAUUUUACCAUAGUAUUUAUAUUUUAUAAUAUAAUAUGAAACUAUAUUUGAUAUUAUAUAAGAAAUUUCAUAAUAAAGUUAGUCGCACAGUCUACACGGGCCACCAUGCUAGUCUUUCUUAUUAUAAAUGAGGUAUUCAACACAUAUAACUUCUAGUAUAAUGAGCAGAAAUCUUAUUGAUUUAAAUGGAUCAAUUACCUGAUUAAACCUAACGUUAAUUCGUAACCCAGGCAGUUUGCUUGACAACUUAUUCGCUGCUGCUUGCUUUCAUGCUUUGUUUGAGCGCUCGUGGAACACUAUCGGCGAAAAUGUCCAGAAUGUGGCAAUAUACAGGCGAAAGGUUUUACACAAGCAAAAAAAUAAAAAAGAAGCGCAAACAAGUUUUAAGAAGGGCAGAGCCACAGAAACCAAACAUACAGAAUGGCAACGGUAGCAGAAAGCACAAAGAACUCAUCAGUUGUGCAGAUCACCGGAAAUGUUUCAACUGAGCCCAGAGUACAACUGCCAGUAUAUCUUAAGGUAAACUAGUGAGGACAAUAGCUGCUUCCACAUGCCAUACUCAUAUCUAGCUCUAGAAAGACGCCUUGCACUUGAGCACGAAGCCCAGCAGCAGCAGCGUGGCCAUGAGCCCGCAGGAGGAGCCCCCCACGCGGUGUAUCCAGUAGGGAUCGAACCUGACCACCCUCCGGUCCAUGAAGCACGUCACGUUGAUGGCCAGGAUCAGCACGAUCAGCAGCGCCGGCAGCCACAGCGCCGCCACGACGCCGUCCUCCUCGUCGUCGCUGUCCACCACCACCACCACCGGCCGCCGGUCGAUGUACAGCGGCGAGAGGACGGCCACGACGGCCAGGACGACGCACACGAGCCUCUCCGUCGACGACGGCCUCCCCAUGGCGGCGGCAGGCUGAGUCUGGAGGCUAGCAGCUAGCUAGCUAAUGCAAAAAACGCUGCCCUUGGCUGUUCAGAAUUUUAACUUCUUUAUGCUGUCUGAACCAAUCUUCAGAAACUAGGAGAGAACCUGACGGCAUUUUCUAUCGCCAAGCCUUUUGACGAUGGAUUGAUCCCAAUCAUGCAGAGGAACAUAUUCAUACUGUCCCGCUAUGAUCCACGGACUGGUGGCGAGAAUUGGAUUGCGAUGUAAAGGCGAGAUUCUUCCGAGCUAGUGAGCUCGGAAUCAGAUUCCGGGAGAAGCAGCUCAAAAUUUGGGGUAUCCAAGAACAGCGUGGCUCUGGACGUAGGAUCAAAUUUGACGGCCCUGAUAAUAAUUUUGCUGCGAGGAAGAGUAAAAGCCGAGCUCUUUCCCGUGAUCAUACAUUCAUACUGAACUUGUUCUUGAAGCAGCAUCUGUGUCAGUCGCCUGAUGUCAUUGCCUGUUCGAUACUGGAGUAGUACGAGUGAUUUUGGAAUCGGUACGGCGAGAUGACUCUGCAGCUUACACCUGUUCUUGGGACGAGAAAAGAGCACGAGCUCCUGCACUUUAUUUGGACGUGAAAUCGCCGGAUUCAAUUCAUCAGCAUGUAAUGCUGGAGACAGAGCAUCUUUUUAUCUGUUUAUUAUUAGCUGUUAGGCAAGUAAACACAAGUGUGAGCAUCAAGGCUGGCAUCUUGGUCUGAUUGAAGCGGUUUGGUCUGAAACGGUAGGCCAAAGCAGACGAGAAAAGGUGGUAUGAAUGUGCAAACAAGGGGCCGGCGGAAAACGUAUGCAAACGAAACAAGGUCCUUCAAAGGCAGAGUUCCAGUCUUCCAAAGGGAAAAGGAGGCUACGCUAACAUAUCGUAAUAAAAUGAUGCCAUUGGAAGGUCAUUAACUCAUGAUAUGAUAACAAAGUGACUUGAAGGAUUUGCCAAACAGAUCUAGAUAACUCAUAAUUACUAGGAGUAUAUUUGAUUCUGAAGCUAAGAGUCCUUUGGGAAGCAAGUCAACUAUUAGUGUGUUUGAUUUACCGUUCACGUGCGCUCAUCAUUUAGCUUAUGCUUAUGUUUUAUAAGCAAAAACUUAAUUUUGAUGUUGGUUUUAUUUUUUAGAUACUUUAUUUUACAAUAUUUUUUAAAAUAAUAUAAACAUAUAUGUAAAAGUUUUACUCAAAGUUUUUUUUAAAUUACAAAUAUAUCGUUUCGCUUAUAUGCUAGCACAUGUGAGGUUCCGACUUUUGGUUGGCUUGAACCAUAGCCUGUCCAAUUGUCCAGCUGAUGUAAAAAAAAAAAAAAGCGAGAUAUGUGCCUUACCAUAUAACAGCCAAUCGAAUCUUAGCUUCCCUCAACCUCCACGAUACCAUUACCCUCCACCAUUGUAUAAUGGCCCUGGUAUAUGAUCUAGACCAUUGUUUUGAUUUUUUGUCUUCACUCAGAAGUCAGAACCAAUCAACUCUAUCGUUUUCUCUGCAGCAUAUCAAUCAUAUCCAAAAUUUAAAUUCUAUAACUCAAUAUUGAAACUGAUCUUGAUAUUUCCCUACUUUUAUCUCUAGCGGUGAAAGCAAAUUUUUAUGCAUAAAUUAUGGAUUAUAUUUCACAAAACCAUGUAAAAGGACAAUAGUAAAGUUGUACCACCUGUAUUUUUUAUACUUUCAGCAAAAAAAAAAUCUGUACUUCUUUAAGGCCUUAAAUUUAUAACUUUCUGAGAAAUUUGAUGCUAAAUUGUAUUUUUGUGAUACACAAUCUUAAAUAUAGAGUUUUGCAAUCUUUCUAUCAAAAUACAUGUAGUUUCGUAAUAUUUACUCCAAUUUAGGUUUUUGCAAUUAAUAAGAAUUACAACUCAGUCAGUUAUCGACGAAACCAUCAUGGUUAUCGGUGCCAUCGUUCUAUAGAUAUACAAGUACAACUCUACGAGACCAAUCCAAGUUGAAGCUAAAGACAAAUACGGGAAUGCCAAUCAACCAGAUUGACAGCUAUCCAUGAUCCAUCCAAAUAAAGAAGCGCGUUAUAGAUGUAUAUUGUUUUCGUAUAAAAAAUUAAAAGAAUCAUCUAAUUUUCUAAUAGCUGUUUAAUAUUAUAAAUAAAUGAUGGUAAUUACUAUAAAGUUAAAAUAUACUUUAGAUACACGUGAGAUAAUAAAUCGUCGUAUAAAAUAUUUUGCAACAAAUACACUCGGAAAGUCUUCACGAAAAAACCGACCAAUAAUCUGGCGACAAACAGCACAUAAACAAUACAGGCUGCGUUUGGCUGGCUGGGGGUAAGGUAACUUACCUAGGCACGAAAAACGUAGUAAUAGAUUAGUAAAUGAUUAAUUAAUUAUUAAUUAUUAUAAAAUGUAAAAUAUAUUAAUAUAAUUUUUUAAAAUAACUUUUCUAUAGAAAAUUUUUGUGAAAAAUAUAUUGUUUGACAGUUCGAAAAGCGUGCGAGCAAAAAACAGGGUGAUAAAUUAACUUAGAAGGGGCGAUGGCAAUGGAUCGGGUUUGGGGCGGGUUCUGUAAAAACCUACCCAUCACAAAACUCAUGACAGUAAGGUAAACCCAUAUCCGUAAACCAAAACUAAACCCGUAGCCAUAACCGAUGGGUACCCGAAACCCAAUGGGUACCACCGAUGAAUCUAUGUCAAAUAAAAGAUAUCUUAAUCGAGACAUCUUCAUGAGUAUAUUAAGGUUUCUCAAUAUUUAAUUAUAGGAAUAAGCAAAUAAACAUAGCCAAUUGAUUAAUAUAGCAACAUGAAAUUGAAAAAGGUAAAAUAAUAAGCAAGUAAAACUAAGCUUGACGAAUUCUAACAUUCAGUCAUCUAAUCAUAUCGACACAAACAGAUAAUUAUGCCUCAACAAUAUUCUGAUGCCACUUGCUUAUAAUACUGGACAGUAAACAGUUUUAUGUUUAAUAUUUAAAAGCGUCACUUAAUUUUUGGGACCCAAUAUGUAACCAAGGAUUAAAUCUAAAACCCGUACACAAUUCAUAGCUUUAUACGUACCCAUAAACUUAUAGAUAUAAAUCUUCGUCCGUACCCGUAUCUAUUAGGUACAAAACCCGUUAACCCGUUAGGCCCCAGAGCGUGGGUCCAAUUGCCAUCGGGUGAAAGAACGCGGCCACAGCCUACGUACGUAUCGCCAUCCUGGAUGUUUCCGUAAACCCAUGUGGUACAGCCUACCGAUCGGCCAUCGCAUCAGCGGGAUAACACCAGCAACAUGAACAUGAACGCAACGCUUUCUUCUGUCACGUUCUACGCGGUACGCCGUACGCCGCUCUCCUUCAUAUGAUGGCCAAAAUCCAAUCGCGUCGUCGAAUGGUCCAAAUCCAACCCGUGUGGCCACCGUGAUUGGACGUGGCUGUAGAGUGGGGCCCACCCGUCAGGCCCACAGAAACAAGCGAAACGGAUAGCGGAGGAGAGACGCGACGCGAGACAGGCGGCAGACCAAGCCACCACGCCGGAAGCCGGAAGCGGCACGCCCACGCGGAGGAGCUCAUCAUUGGCCGCCNNNNNNNNNNNNNNNNNNNNNNNNNNNNNNNNNNNNNNNNNNNNNNNNNNNNNNNNNNNNNNNNNNNNNNNNNNNNNNNNNNNNNNNNNNNNNNNNNNNNNNNNNNNNNNNNNNNNNNNNNNNNNNNNNNNNNNNNNNNNNNNNNNNNNNNNNNNNNNNNNNNNNNNNNNNNNNNNNNNNNNNNNNNNNNNNNNNNNNNNNNNNNNNNNNNNNNNNNNNNNNNNNNNNNNNNNNNNNNNNNNNNNNNNNNNNNNNNNNNNNNNNNNNNNNNNNNNNNNNNNNNNNNNNNNNNNNNNNNNNNNNNNNNNNNNNNNNNNNNNNNNNNNNNNNNNNNNNNNNNNNNNNNNNNNNNNNNNNNNNNNNNNNNNNNNNNNNNNNNNNNNNNNNNNNNNNNNNNNNNNNNNNNNNNNNNNNNNNNNNNNNNNNNNNNNNNNNNNNNNNNNNNNNNNNNNNNNNNNNNNNNNNNNNNNNNNNNNNNNNNNNNNNNNNNNNNNNNNNNNNNNNNNNNNNNNNNNNNNNNNNNNNNNNNNNNNNNNNNNNNNNNNNNNNNNNNNNNNNNNNNNNNNNNNNNNNNNNNNNNNNNNNNNNNNNNNNNNNNNNNNNNNNNNNNNNNNNNNNNNNNNNNNNNNNNNNNNNNNNNNNNNNNNNNNNNNNNNNNNNNNNNNNNNNNNNNNNNNNNNNNNNNNNNNNNNNNNNNNNNNNNNNNNNNNNNNNNNNNNNNNNNNNNNNNNNNNNNNNNNNNNNNNNNNNNNNNNNNNNNNNNNNNNNNNNNNNNNNNNNNNNNNNNNNNNNGGGGUGGUGGGGCCGGGGGUCGCCGCGGGGGGCAUGGCGACCGGCUCCGUCGUGAAGCCGCCGCCGCCGUCGCUGGCCGGCGCGGGGCGAGGGCUCCGUGGGCGGGGAGUCCUCCACCGGCGUCUCGCGGCCUCGCCUAUGUGAGCUCUCUGGUUCGAUUUUGUUUUUCCUGCCUUUGUUUGCGUUGGGGUCAGUCCGGUGCGAUGGCCCCCCGGGGGUCUUUGUUUUUACAGGAAUUGCGUUCAUCCGUUGCUGAUUGUGAACUAGGGGAAACUGGCGAAGGGAAGAACCUACUAAGAAGGCUUAUGGGUGUUAUUGAAUGGUGACUUGUUAGAUUGCUUUUUGCAAGUUAUAUUCAAGGCAAGAAAGACUGACCAAUUAGUUCAAUGUAGGAUCACGGUCUUGUAGUCUUGUUGUGCCGGUUCUUUGUGGGGGGUAUUUAUUGAUUGUAUAUAUUGCAGUUUUAGACCGCACAACUAUUUAUGGUACACAUUUAGUUAGAAUAAAUGCAAUAAACUCCUCUCUUUGUACUGGGUAGCAGUGAUGAUUGCUACUUUGUAUUUUGUGAUGUUAUGACUUGCUGUGAGGAAUUUUGGAAGGUUUGAUCCAAAGACACCUUCGUUGAUGCACAAUUUGGAACAUUUUGGUUUGCUAGUAACUCUUACAUAUAGAUACCAUUGGGCAAUCAGAAACAUGUGGAGUAACUCUUACAUAGCAUGAAUUUAUGCACUGUCAGUGCAUCUUCCUCAUUGUUUCUUUAAUACAAAAUCAGCAAUUUUUUCCCCAGGAAAGAUGAACCUGUGGCUUCAACAAAUGGUGGCAAAGAUGAAAUGGUCACCGAUAGCCUCAGUGUUGCUAGAAGAGCCUCUCCCCCUGGGCUUUCAUCAAGCUUACCCAAUCCAAUUUCGGUGGUUCCCACAUCUUUCCAAUCAGCACCAUCUGAUCUUCGUUUCAAUCGUCUUCGACCCUCAGUUGAGGAAAGUGAUUGCAAAUACAAAAGAUUUUUUGGCUGCUAUGUUGCUCGGGAGGCUAUAAUUGAUGAGGAAUACUGGGUAUUUUUCUUGUCAUCUGUAAAGAAUAUAAGACCGUUGACUCUUCAAGUACACUACAAUUCUCCAAUUUUUGCUGACAUAGCCUGUACAUGUAUUUUGUGGUAUUCUGAUUGGUACUAUUAUAUGGUAAUACCAUGGUCCUAUAUAUACCUUUUGUUUUGCAUGUUAAUAUUGCUGAUAAGAUGUCAUGAGACACGUAGAUAUCAUUUAUAUGUUCCAUGCACUUUUGUAUUGUAUACUAUAUUGGCUCCUAACAUGGGAUUCCUACUAAAAUUUAUGUUCCUAGUCCUUUACCCUCACCUUUUAGUUUGUAUUAUGAAAUUGUAAUAUUAACUUUAACAUCAAUGUAUAACAUUCCCUUGUACCAUCGCCUUGAUAGAUUGCUGCAUGGUUGAGAGCAGAGAAUCGCUAUGAAGAUCAGUCAAGUGAUCGGUUAGUGUUUAAUUUGCAAGCAAAUUUUGUGCAUCCUCAUCUUUUCUUUGUAUUGCUGUUCACAUAGGAUUAGUGCUAUCCUUGUGGUUAAUGGUUAACAUUUCUUUAUCAUCAUUUCUGCUCCAGCUAUGUUGAAAGCUUCAAGAGGAAGUUUGCAUCACAGGUACACGGGUAAUCAGUUGGUCACUAGUUUAUGCCUGCUUGAAGGCAAUUGGGAUGGCUUGUCCCCAGAUAGCUCUGCUUAAAUUGACACUGUCAAAACGUCCAAUUAAUUUUCCAUCGAAUGAUCAUUCAAUAGUCAAUACUUCAUGUUGUGGUUUGACAUUUGUGUGUCAUUGUUGGAUAUCCUUUUGCAGGAAUUUCAUGCAUUAAAGAAGCGAUGUAGCAAGCUUCAAGGAGAGAAGUAUAUUUGUUUUGUUGCGGUACAAUACAAAAGCUCUCUGCAUUUUGGCUAUCAAAUUUAUUAUUAUGCCUUGGAUCCAGCAUGUUAGUUCAUAGGAAAUACUUGCAAGGGGUCCAAACAUGCCAAAAUGGCUACCACAACCAACAAGUGAAGUGUUGACAAGUUUUUCUAAAGUAGAACUGACUUAAAGCUGCUUCACCAACAGUUUUCUUAUAUUUCACAGUUGAAAAUCUCAGUCUCUGGUGUAAUAUGGCAGGUAAAAAAUGAUGACCUCAAACGAACUGUGCUGAAUAGCGUCGUUGGCACCCUGGAUGUCUGUAUAAGGCAUCCUUUUCACGGGGAGACAUUUCCUGCGGUAUGGAAAAAUAGUAGUAUAGCACCCAUGUUUUUCUAUAUAACUUCUGUUUAUUUAUGUUAUGGAAAGUUACAUCUCAAAGUUCUUUACAGGAGCCUGGGAAGUCAUCAUAUCAUUGUAGAAUAUAUCAGCCGGAUCAGCCAAAGUUUGGAUAUCUGACAAAUGUUUGUGUUGCUAAAUAUGCACGGCGUCAAGGGAUCGCGAGCAAUAUGCUGUUAUUGGCCAUAGAUGCUGCAAGAGUCAAUGGUAAAGCAAUAAGUUGUUGUUUCUAGAAAUUAUGCAAUGUUAUUUUGUAGUAGAUAUGUACUCCAUCCGUUUUAAAAUAUAAGGCGUAAAUUCUACUAACACAAAGAUCAAGAAAAAAAUUAUAACCAUCUCAUUGUUUAGAUUACCUUGGUGCAUAUAUAUGUGCAUGUUAUAUGGUUAGAUGUUUUGAUAGUGAAGAAUUUAAAAUAAAUUAAAUUUAGAGGAAAGAGAUGUGCUAGUUAAUGCAUACUUAUAUGCAUGUAUUAUAUUAUGGGAAAUAGAAAAAAAGUAAUUAUAGAAAAAGUAAUUACAUCUUAUAUUUUAGAAUGGAGGGAAUACCAGAUAAUACUGACCCAUCCACUGACAUCUUCAACCCUGCUUUAGGUGCUGAAGAUGUUUAUAUUCAUGUGCACAAGGAUAAUCUACCAGCUCGGAGGCUCUAUGAUCAGAUAGGAUUCAGGGUAUAUGCAUACCAUCUUGUUUUGCUAUACUUCUAAAAAAAAUAUACAUGUGGAUGCACGCUUAUACUGUGUAUUUGUAGAUGGUUGACUUCGAUGGUGCCUGCCACUCAUCAGAUCUAUGCUUACUCUCCUUCGGUUCAUAGGAUUUUUAAUACGAUGGAGUUUUGAUCCCAUCUCCCUGUGCAGAUGAAAUGCCACUAGUCCUUGUUAUUUGGAAAGCGGGACAGUGUCAGGAAUAUGUUUACCAUCAUGUACCAGUAAUGUGCAUAAUAUAUUUAGUCAAAUUAAAUUUCAUAGAAACACCCCAAUUAAAUUAAUGUCAUACAAAAUAUUUUUGUUCAUAAAUUAUUAAAUUACAUUUUAGUCAUAUUAAUUUUGUUACUAUCUAUCCAAUUGAGCUCUAGUUCAAUUCAGGUCAUAUAUCAAAUCCAUUUAGGAUAAAGUGCAAAAAUGUCAUUGUCUAAAAAUAUUCGACCAAGACAAUCAAUAAUCACAUAUAAUCAUUUCUCUACUAUUUAAAAAUCAAUAACAUUUCUACCCAUUUUUUUUAUCACUCGCCUGCUAUCCAAUUGCUUGCGUCGCAUCACGUCGAUUGCUCACAGGCUCACAACCCACUCAAAGAUCACUCAAUCUUCGAUCCCUUGUAUUCUCCUUUCCAAACUUGUAGGAAAAACCUAUGUUUCUAUUUUAGACCCUACAUCUUAUCGCUCAUCUCUAGAAUCUCGAUAGCUUCAUGUUCAUUUUAGAUCCGAUGACUUCCAAUUCGGUUUGACACCAGGAGAACAAAUGAGCACGCGAUGAUAAAAUGAAGACAUUUUUAUUAAAUAGAUCUUCCUUCACAAACUGCAGUAACUAUGUAAUGUAAUUUUAUUAGUCGUACCAUGUUAGAAUCCUAAACCUGCACAUCAUACAUGUAAGAUAACAAUAUACUUGAAAUUUUAACAUGAAUGUUCAUUUAAAGAAGAAGGAAGGUCAUUACAUGUUGAGUAAAAUGGUUUGGCGGACAACUUUUUCCUUGUGGAACUAUUUCCACGUGGACUUCAGAAACAAGAAUUUUCUCCAUAUCCAAUCCAAGAAUUUGUUUUCCUACCUUGUUCAGUGACAAAUCAACUUCUUCCGGAUUACUGAAAUGUUGCAUAAAUAAUCAUUAAGCAUUCUUAUAUGCACUUCUAGUUAGUAUAUAUAAUCAAUUACUGAUUCUCACAUCCUCAGAAAAUUAACUCGAGCCUUUGGCAUCAGCUAUUCAGUUAGCCUGAGCCGUGUAAUCUGCAACACUCAUUUUGUACAUGUGAGGAUUAGUAAUCCGGAUGCCAAUGGUUUAGGAUGGCCAUCCACUGGAGAGGAAGUUGCUUCACUGGAUGACCAUCCUCUCCAGUGGAGGGCAUCAACUUCGAUCCCUCGCCAUGGAUGUUUAAGGGGAUGACCGCAAUGGGGUCACCGGGGAAGGGAUUCAUGAUGUGGUAAAAGGAUCGGCGAAUAACGGCGAUUGCAACAAUUGAGAUCAGGGGUGAUGCUAGGGUUAGAGGAGGCAACUGGAGGAGAGUGGUAGGGAUGAGGCGGCGCUCCUGGCAUAGAGGAGGUAGUGGCCCCCGCCGGCGGCGGCAGAGGGAAGGUGUAGAGGAUGUGGUGACUAGGGUUUGGGAACGCAGGUGAAGGAGAGGGGUAUGGAUGAGGCGACAAUGGUGGGAGAAGAGAGUAUGCGGUUUUCGAGUCUUUGGGAUGAGGCGAGUCUGAUGGACCAUCCGAUUCGACUUAUGUAGAUUUAGGGCUUCUGAUAUGUCACAUAAAUACAUGAUGAUGACGAGUAAAUCAAGUUUGUGCACUAUAUUUUAGAUGGAUUAGAUACCAAGAUAGUGAGAAAUGCUUUGUAACUUUUGAACUAACGAGGGGUUAACCUAUAUCAUUCUGAUGCCCUGGAAUGUUAUGCAUCUAAGAGCUUUUACCAGGUUUCUUUUAUCAUACUCUAUACAUAUUACUUGUGAAUACAGCGAAAAUUUAUUGGUCUAUUCUCUCGUUUCUCUAAGUAAAUGAAUAUUAUAUACUGCAUCUUGGCACCGUUUGCAAAACACCAAGCAUGUGUUACAUUGCAGUGUGAAGUUUACCACAUCAUAGUCACGCUGUUGCACACAAAAAAAUGUAUAAAUAGCUUCUAUAAUCCAAGGCUAUUCGUAAUGGAGGCGAUGAACGGUUUUAUUUUGUUGUUUUCAACAGUGCCACGUCAUGUUGAGUGUUUUGAGGUGAUGAAAUAAAACAUCCUCCCACAAUGCACGGUGUAAUUUUGUGGUAUCUUACAACACCUAAUGCACAUCCUUGGAUGAAAUGAGACUUUUGUGUCUAAUACGAGUGUGGAAUCAUUUUUAAGUUUUUAAAAGAGAGUAUAUCCAAUUCUAUCUAGAUAAACCUAUUAUAUCUCUCUUCAUAACUCCAAUGAUAUAUCAUUCGAGUUUCUUAUACGAUACUUUAUUCACUGAGAAUGAAACCCCAUUAAGAUUGUAUUACAAACACUGUCCAAGCAAGUUCUCUAAACCCUCCUCCAAGCAUGACACUUGUACAUUAUUUUUCGCUCCCGCUUAUGUUUAUAAACCAAAAAUUAAUUUUUUUGUUCUUAAAUUUAGAGUUGAUUUUAGAGUUUUCAUACUGAAGUUUAUUUUCCUGUCUUUCCUUUAAAAUCGAUAAUAUAUAUAUAUAUAUAUAUAUAUAUAUAUAUAUAUAUAUAUAUAUAUAUAUAUAUAUAUAUAUAUAUAUAUAUAUAUAUAUAUAUAUAUAUAUAUAUAUAUAUAUAUAUAUAUAUAUAUAUAUAUAUAUAUAUAUAUAUAUAUAUAUAUAUAUAUAUAUAUAUAUAUAUAUAUAUAUAUAUAUAUAUAUAUAUAUAUAUAUAUAUAUAUAUAUAUAUAUAUAUAUAUAUAUAUAUAUAUAUAUAUAUAUAUAUAUAUAUAUAUAUAUAUAUAUAUAUAUAUAUAUAUAUAUAUAUAUAUAUAUAUAUAUAUAUAUAUAUAUAUAUAUAUAUAUAUAUAUAUAUAUAUAUAUAUAUAUAUAUAUAUAUUCUCCCCAACGAAAAGUACAAACUCUAUACAUGUAGAUAGUAUCAUUUACAUGAGAUUUAAUAGUUGCUAUAUUUUCUGUUGGUUGGAAGCAGAAAUAGUUAUAAAAAUAUUUUUAUCAUGGACGUGCAGGGAGUAGCUACACCUGGUAGUAUGAUCUAAUUUUCAUAUAUAUAUAUAUAUAAUAAAAGUUUAUCCAUAAAUUUUUAUUAUUUUUCACCGAUACAAUCAUCCGGUAGAGUCGUUGAGAAGGUUCCCACUAUAGACCUGACUUUUUUUAAAAAAAGAAAUUAGAGACCUGAUGAUAUAAUGAGGUUAUUAACCAUGAAUAGUACUCCUAGUCGCAUAACACCAAUGAAAUCAGAGAUUUUAUCUUAAGAUGAUCGGAUUGCUGGGAAGUAACGUAACCAAUCUGGAUUCUGGACGGUUCAUGACACCGCCAGGGGGGGUUGAGAGCACUGCAUCGUAUUCUCCUCUCUUCUCCUCCCGUCUCCAGAACACACCGAGGGACUCAGGCGAACGGCUGGGCGGCUCCGGCUUCCUCCAGGUCCGGGUUCUCGCCACCCCCUCUCCUUCCUUGUCCUCUCCGCCCUUGUCCUCUCCGCCCUCUCUCUCUCUCUCUCUCCCGGCCAGGUCCAGUCCUCUCUCUCCCGGCGGCCGGAUCCAGCGCGGCGGCCAUCGACGGCCGGGGGCGCGCGGGGGGCUGCCAGCCGCGGUGGUCGAUGGGCCACGCCGGCAAACGCCGGCCGGGGGUGGNNNNNNNNNNNNNNNNNNNNNNNNNNNNNNNNNNNNNNNNNNNNNNNNNNNNNNNNNNNNNNNNNNNNNNNNNNNNNNNNNNNNNNNNNNNNNNNNNNNNNNNNNNNNNNNNNNNNNNNNNNNNNNNNNNNNNNNNNNNNNNNNNNNNNNNNNNNNNNNNNNNNNNNNNNNNNNNNNNNNNNNNNNNNNNNNNNNNNNNNNNNNNNNNNNNCGGGGCUGGAGAUAUAUAUAUAUUUUAAUUUUUUAAUGAUAUUUGCCAGUUUUGAUGAUAUACAUAUGCUAUAUGCAAACAUUUACUAUGCGGUGCUCUAGACUGCUGCUGGAAUCAGAUGUUUUGAGGAUAUACAGCCGCUCAAGUAGAUAACCAAAUUUGUUUGUCCAAUUCUUUUCAAAUGCUAAUUGUAACUAUAAAUAUUUUCUGUGCUUUGUAAUGUUGAACUGGAAAUAAAAUGAGGGAGAAACGCAGACAGUAUAUUAAUGAGCAAGCAUUUAGUGUGAUUUGUCUGCCAUUGUAAAAAACAUCGCUAAAACUCAGAUUUUUUUCUAAUACUUUAAUUCUGGAAUCUAUUCCGGAACAGAGAGAUCUUUCUGUUCAUGAUGGUGUAGUGGUUGUCCUCCUCAGAUGUAUAAUAAAUGUAUUGCCUAUAUUUUGUAUAGCAGUGCCUGUGAUUAAGUGCUUUGAAGGCCUGGAUACAUCCUUCCCCUGGUGUUAUUCUGUAUAGGGAAGAGAAAUCUUGGAUGUAAAGCUGUUUCCAGUGAAAAGACGGUAUGUUGCACUCCUUUUUUCCUCUUAUGUGCAAACUUAAGACUGAUUUCUUAAUGCAGUAGACAUGCUAAGCAUAUAAUAACUACUAUUACAUAGGCUGGCUGGCUUAGACUUCUUCCAUUAAAUUAAUUUGCUUCACAAAUGAAUAAAUGAUUUGUCUGACUUUUCAUUAGCACAGAUAGAUGGUUAAUUUGUUCAUCUCUAUCAACUUUUUUUCUACAGGGUUGUCUACAGCUCGGACCCAAAUUUGCCACAAACAGCACACAGCAACGAAAAGGCAAGGUUACCGACGCAUCGCCGGUGACCCGAUCGAACCCAGCUAUGUCGGCGCGUGACAGAGAGACAGCCAUGGCGCUGGCCCGCGUCGCCGCUGCUCUGGAUGGGGCGGUGCUCGGCCUGGGCACUGCCACCAUCGCCGUCGCCUCGUGGGUGAAGUACCUGGCCGUGUCAGGUCAGCUACGGCGCAUCGUCGCCGCUCCGGCAGUCGCCAUAUCUGAUAUCCGCUCUUUCCUCGUGGAAUACGGUGAGGGCGACGAGCCAGUCCUCGCAGCGGUGCGUGGCCACGUCCGUGCCGCCCCCCAGGGCAAGCUCCUCGUUCCCCCAGGCUCCGGCGAGCACUGCGUCAUAGCCAAGCACACCCAGAUGGUGAGUUGCGCGAUGAAAAAUUAUCUUCUAUCCUGUGCUUGGAACCAGGGUUUAUGCUAUAGGCGGUACGGAUGCUUAGUUAGGUUGUAGUUUUCAAUCUUAAACUCAUGCACAUGUUGAAGGUACUGAUUACUGUGGUAGGCGUGUUUAGGCAUUGGAAUUCUAUGUGGCCGUGAAGCUUGUUUGGUUUCAUGUUUUCAUGUGCUGUAUUGCUUUAGAUAGGGAUCUCAAAUCGUAGAAAUCUUGGAGAAUUUGAUUACAUGAAGUUAUGCUGUUAUCUGCUCUGUCUCUCUCUGUGUGUGUGUGUGUGUAGCUUCUAGGAGCUGUCGAGUAGGAAGGUAAGCGAUAUGAGAUUUGGCAGUCUCUUCUGCUGAAUUGGAUAGUUUGGGGAACGGAAGAUGCUGGCAGUUUCCUUGCCAGUCUGUUUAUGUUCAAUUCUGAGUUUUGAGUGACAACUGUUUUGAAAACUCUGGCAAUGUUGAUUAUUAAUAUACACAAAAUAGUGUAUGGUUCUGUUGCAUUGGAAAUUAGAUGAUUUGUGCCGUAUAUGAGUUAUCUGGUUGCGAGACGCCUACUGGCUGCAACAUUAAUCACCUAUAAUACUGCUAUGCUUCCAUGGAUUUAGAUCUUAUGAGAGUUCAAUCCCAUAAUUACUGGUAAAAUGCAGCAAUAUUGACUUUUGAUGGCAUCGGUUCAUUAUAAUUCAAGUAUGAUGAAUUCAUAAUAUAUGGUUUUAGAAGAAAAUAAGGAUUAGGAAUAAAUUGAAGAAAACAAGGCCUUUGUGUAAAGAUGUUUACGAUUUUGUUAUUUGUUGUUAUUGUGGCAUAAAAAACUGGGGUUAUGGUCUGGGUUGCCUAUAAUUUCUGUACAAUCUGUCCUGAAGAGAGGUACUAGUUACUGAUUUAGUUGCAAACUUCAGAAAAACCAAUGGGCUAUAUACUUUUGUAGUGUGGUGCAAACUGCAAAGAUACUUCUCAACAUAUUAUGCACACGAAUGGAAUAGACAUGGAAUUGCCAGUUCCCUUCUUUUGUUACCACGGUAAUACCUAUGAAUACAAAUAUGCAACAUUUACAUCCCCAAACUUUGUCAUCUUUUUUUCCUUGUGCCUUUACAGUUGUGUACCUGUUCUUCUUUCUGUAUAGAUUUCUCUAACUGGUGUUAUGUGUUGAUGUCCUUAUCUGGUGCUUGUUCAGUGAAUGGAGAGGCAUCUCUGGAUGGACCUUUGAUCUGCAUGCUCUCUUUUUUAAAAUCUUUGAAGGAACAGAUUACACGACAUCUUUUAGAUGUUUAUCACAGUAGUACCUAUGAAUACAAAUGUGCUACGAUAUUUACAUCCCCAAACGUUGUCAUUUUUUUUCCGUUGUGCCUUUAUAGUUGUGUCCCUGUUCUUCUUUCUGUAUAGAUUUCUCUAACUAGUGUUAUGUGCUGAUGUCCUUAUCCAGUGCUUGUUCAGUGAAUGGAGAGGCAUCUUUGGAUGGACCUUUGAUCUGCAUGCUCUCUUUUUCAAAUCUUUGAAGGAACAAAUUACAACAUCGUUUAGAUGGGUAUACUAUCUAUACUUCGUAAGCUGGUUUUUGUUAGAAUAAUUUUGGCUUCAAAUGUUAACCAUACCUUUCCUUUUGCAAGGUUCCAUUUGUUCUUGUAGAUCCUCAAAACAUGACUGGAAUAGUCCAUGUGAAUUUAGACAGGGCAAUGCAACCAUUACCUCUUACAUCUGUGUAUCAUAAACUUAUCCCAGUCGAGUCAACUCCAUACACAUUGUUUCAGACUAUUGUUGGCAAUGGCUACCCGGUAAGUUCUUGACUAUUGGACAUAAUUUUGUAGUUUGCAAUAUCAUUACAGGGAUAUCUAUCUUGAGCUAUGCUAUUAUUUAUUCUAUAGGUUGCACUGUUGGAUGAGGAAAAGAUACUUCCUAUAGGAAAGGAGAUUACAGCAAUAGGGUUUUGUCGACCGCAUAGAGCAAGUGUUGGGAUCAGCUCGUGUCCAGAGAUACCUUUUUUCUUGUAAGAGCGGCAUUGUUUGUCAUAUGUUAUCAUAUUUUUUUCUUUCUUUUACUGAUGCCAGACACCAGUACACCAGGAUUCCUAGAACAUUCGUAGUUUAUAAUUUAUAUGUCUAAGAUUGGUUAACUUAAGUAGGACAUGCAUAUCAAGAUAUUCUUUUGGUUGAGUUCUGCUGCUUUUUCAUAACGCUUUACCUUCAGGUCUGAGCUCACCAAGGAUGAGAUGGAAGUUGAGUUGUCUUCUCGUGCUCAAACACUCUUCUGGGCUACUGUUGUUCUUGGAACAAUGUCAGUUUGCUUACUGGGAUUUGCGACUUACAGGUAUCGAACUGUGACAUUUUUGCCAUUUCUAAAGAUUUUUAUUAGUUAGUACUCGAUUAGUGAUUUAGUUCUGAGGAUAAUUUACACUUUGAUGCUUCAUGUUAUCUUGCUUUCUUUUUUAGCUAUUUUACUUGAUGUUGUACUGCUGCAGGAGCUGGAAGAAGAUCAAAGAGCGGAGGGAGGCAAGGCAAGCCCAAGAGGUAUUUCGACAAACUACCGAUGAUGUUACAGAUGAUCAGUCUAGUGAUGAAGAGGCUGGUGAAAUGGGAGAUGGGCAAUUAUGUGUUAUAUGCUUAAGGAAAAAAAGAAGAGCAGCUUUUAUUCCUUGUGGUCACCUUGUCUGUUGUUGCAAAUGCGCACUGAUUGUGGAACGCCAGUUCGAUCCAUUGUGCCCUAUGUGUCGGCAAGACAUUCGAUACAUGAUAAGGAUAUACAACAAUUGAGGUACACGGAAAGUUUCCUUUUAAGCUUUUGGAGGGACUACUAAUCUCUCAUACAGUGCACCAACGGUUGACUCGUGGCUCAUUGUCUCACAGUAUAAAUCCAAUGAUCUAGAAUCAACUAUACCAAUCGAAUGACCUAGAACGACUCUAUAUUUCCACCGCCAUGCAUAAACAAAUUUCUUAUUAUAUAUUGAAAACUUCCUAUAAAAUAUAAAUAUAUAUAUUUCUUAAGUAUAUAAUUAUUUUAUAUAUAUAUAUAUAUGAAUGUGCAUGUGUCUAUAAAUACACAUGUAAUAUUUAUGACUAAUUGUGUAUGACUAUUAAUCCUACAGUGUAUUCACUGAUCAGUUAGAAACAACUUAAGAAGCCAUAAUCUCCUAAUCUCCUCGUCUUGAUCCAACAGAUCAAUCUCGCAUCUUCUCAACAAGCAACGACUAAGACCAUAUUUCUUUCGGCUUGGGAAUAAGCCGAAAGAAACAGACAAAUUGAAGUAGAAAGAUAAAUUGAAGUAUAUAAUCUAGAGUAUAGCUUAUUAUAAUCUAAUAAGUUCGUUUAGGUGAGCUUUUUUUAAUUAUUGGAUAAAAAAUUACCCAUCAUGUCACCCUACUCUUUCUUUUAGACUUACAAACCCAAUAAUCUAGGCUCUAAUAAUCUAGAAAAGAAACAACUCACGGCUUAUUCAGUAAUCUAACUCAGUAAUCUAGAUUAUAAUAAUCCUAAGCUGAAAGAAACAUGGCCUAAGAAAUCUCUUAUACUGUAACCACUCUAGUAAACAUAUGAUUAUUGAUGUAAAAUUUUUUGUCAAUUAAUUACCAUCAUGCUCUGAGAUUUAAGCAUCUCUGUGUUAGUGGUCGUGCAUGCACGAAGAACGCAAAUGUUUUUAUUUUUUUAUUUGGUUUUUUAUAAUUAAAGUCUUAUAUAAGAUGAGAUCAAAACAUAUAUAACUUUUAUUUAAUUUGUGUUACCAUGUAAUGCAUAAACUAAUAUGACUCAUUAUCUAUUAUCUUACGGGACAAAUUCUACGACUCAUUUAUCUGUCUCGAUUGAAAACCGCAAUUGUAUCCAUGUCUUCAUCUGCCCUGUACUACUACUAAGUGGCUGUUUGGAACCAGGGAUUUUUUUAAGUCCCUUGUCACAUCGGAUGUUUGGACGUUAAUUAGGAGUAUUAAAUAUAGACUGAUAAAAAAACUAAUUACAUAAAUAAAUGCUAUUUCAUUAGACAAAUUUUUUAAGCCUAAUUAAGCCACGAUUAGCAAAUGUUUACUGUAGCAUCACAUUCGCUAAUCAUGGGCUAAUUAGGCUCAAUAGAUUCGUCUCGCGAAAUAGUCAAGAGUAUGAGGUGGGUUUUAUUAAUAGUCUAUAUUUUAAUACUUCAAAUUAGUGUCUAAACAUUCAAUUUGACAGUGACUUACAAAAAAUCCCUAUGAUCCAAACAGGGUCUAAAUCAAUGCCUCUUCCCUAAUUCCCCGAGCAGCGUAUGCGCUACAUCCCCUAAGAUAUUGCUUAGAUUAAAUGUAUAUAUUUUUAUUAUAUGACUAUAAGAUGGCUAAAGAUAUGAAAUUUAACAUGAAACAGCAUAGAUUAUGUGGAAUUGAUUUCAUAUACACUUUAACGCUACGUAAUCUGAGAAUUAUCUACAUAGUAUUCUCUUUUCAAAUUCUUCCUACUUGGUGAGUUUGACUAUUCAUUUAUAUUCUUACUGGAAACCAUAUAAAGUUCACAUGGUUAGCUUUCUCUUCGACUACCACAUCAGGUGUGUUUUGAUUUUGCUUUUUAGAAACCAUAUAAAGUUUUGAUGAGUUGUUCAAAUAUAACACAAUGCCAAGCCUUAUAGACCAAAAGUUAUAAGUCGUGCCUCGUUGAGUUUUAUAAAUUUAUAAGAUUAAUUAUUAUACAUAUAAUUAUAUUUUUAAAUUUUAUAUGAUUAAGAUUUAUGAUUAUGUUUUUCUUUUACUUGGCAUGGCCUUUGAUCUACAGUGGAUUUCUGUUACAUUGUGAUAAAAGAGGGUUGUUUAAUAGGAUUAUGCGAAGUUACGUAAUAUUCCAUUUUACAUGAAAUAGAAGAAAUAUUCCAGUUGUUCUGUAGUAAAGAAUCAUACAAAUGUCUUCAAACAAAAUCAUAUAUAGUAUAUCCUUGGGAAAAAUACAUGCCUUAAUAAUAUGGUGGAGGGUACUCAUAUGGUCAUGAAAUUCAUUUGGUUGAAUAUGACUAUGGAUAAAUAAAAUCGUGUAAUGUCCCAAACAAUAACUUUUUUAUUUGGUUGAUUUUUAUUAUCAAAUGUUAUCAUACGUCAGUACAUAUAUGUUUGAUAUAUAAUUUGGAUCGAAUUAAAGUGCAUUUCACCUAUUUAGAAAAAAUAAUUUAACUAACAUGAAAUUACAUGAUAUAUGAGUAUAAAUAAUUUAACUAACGUAAAAUUGCUAAAAUAAUUUCUAAUAUAUGAAAAGUCUUUAAUAUAUAUAAAGUAUAUAAUAGGAAAGUUUAUAGAGUACUUUUCAUAUUCAUAGAAACUAUUUUAUAUAGAAGACCAUGUAGAUUUGUCCGAUGAGCACGAAUAAAAAUAGUUCGUAACUGGAGGAAUGAUCAGAGUGGUGGGAAAAAGAAAGAGAGACACGAUAAUCCUAUUUUUACCGGCAAGAAGAUUAACAUUAUAUUUCUGUCAAGAUAGUUGAAUUAAUCUACGACUGUUUACUUGCGUCGUGCGAAACCUGCAGACUUGCAGAGAUACGUAUACGUAAACGUAGCGCAAACGUUGAGCACGCCGUCCGCACGAUCGAGAUCGAACGGUCAAUACAGCCCAACAACGGCAACCGUCACACGUAGAUCGGGCGGUCAGCAAGGAACCCUAGCACCGAUCCCUCCCUAUAUAAAGGGCCUUCCUCUUGCCCUAACCCCUCCACUGUCUAUCUCUACCCCGCCGCCGCCGCCGCCGCCGCCUCCUCUCGACUGCUCCCGUCCUCUCCUUCUUCGAGGUCAGCUUCUUCAGAUCUUAUCUCUUCCUCCUGCUAUUCGCCGGUGAUUUUGAGCUGGCGCGUGUUGUUCUAGAUGUCUUUCCGUGCGUUCGUCUCACUGCUCCGAUCGUUGUCUUCUGUUCGUUGGUAGACUUGAUCUGUCGCCGAAUCACCUUCAUAGGUUUAAAAUUAUCGGUAGAAUCGGAGGAUAAAGUUGAUUUGUUGCGAAAUCGCGUACUUAUGUUGAAAAUUAUAGGUGGAAUCGGCGCAAGGAUUUGCAUCUAUAAUCUGUUUGGUGUUUGGGUAGAUCUCCAUUUCUGUAAUUUUUAGUCUGCUGCCGAGCGUACAUGAUGCUGUCGUCUUUUUCAUCUGUCUUAGCACUAGGAUAGAUGCCUAACUUUUCCUGAUCUGUGAUCUUACCAUGGUAAUCUUUGUUUAUUCCUUUGUGGUGCUGCAGGCUGCUAGUUCCCUCCUUAUUCAGCCAUGGGUAAGGAGAAGACGCACAUCAACAUUGUGGUCAUUGGCCACGUCGACUCCGGCAAGUCGACCACCACAGGACACCUGAUCUACAAGCUUGGAGGCAUCGACAAGCGUGUGAUCGAGAGGUUCGAGAAGGAAGCCGCCGAGAUGAACAAGAGGUCGUUCAAGUACGCGUGGGUGCUUGACAAGCUCAAGGCCGAGCGUGAGAGAGGUAUCACCAUCGAUAUUGCCCUGUGGAAGUUCGAGACCACCAAGUACUACUGCACUGUCAUCGAUGCCCCUGGACACCGUGACUUCAUCAAGAACAUGAUCACGGGUACCUCCCAGGCUGACUGUGCCGUGCUCAUCAUCGACUCCACCACCGGUGGUUUUGAGGCUGGUAUCUCCAAGGAUGGCCAGACCCGUGAGCAUGCCCUUCUUGCUUUCACUCUUGGAGUGAAGCAGAUGAUCUGCUGCUGCAACAAGGUAUAUCUUUAGUUGAACGUGUUAAUUAUGCUGUUUCAGAUUCUUUUAGUUUCAUCAUAGAAGUAACAUGAGUAUAUUGUACAUCUCUCAUUGGGAUUUUUGUAUGAGUGUGUGCUAAAUAUGCAUCUAAUGUUGCAAUUGUUGAUGGAUUGUUUCCAGUUACUUUAAACACUAGUGAUUAAAUAGUGCUGCAUAAAACACAACUCUUCUGCUUAAUUUGUUUAAAUUACUCAAUUAACCUCAUAAAUCGAUUGUUGGUUAAACUUAAUUCUAUAUAGUUUGUUUUGUUUAAUUUCUCUGAAUAGUUAGUCUAUUUUUCUGUUUCUAUUCUGCUGGAAGUAGCAGCUGCACAUUGCUUCAUUACAUCUUAUAUCUGGUCACUAUGUUUAGUAAAUGUUGUUUAUUAUCUGUUUCAUAUCAUACAUCUAUCGUUGUGUGGUUGCCAGCCCCUUGUUGAGAGAAGUAAUUGAGUUAUUCUAUUUUGUUCUGUUGCAGAUGGAUGCCACCACCCCUAAGUACUCCAAGGCCCGUUAUGAUGAAAUCGUGAAGGAAGUCUCUUCCUACCUCAAGAAGGUUGGCUACAACCCUGACAAGAUUCCUUUCGUUCCCAUCUCUGGGUUCGAGGGUGACAACAUGAUUGAGAGGUCGACCAACCUUGACUGGUACAAGGGCCCCACUUUGCUUGAGGCCCUCGACCAGAUCAAUGAGCCCAAGAGGCCAUCAGACAAGCCCCUGCGUCUUCCCCUUCAGGACGUGUACAAGAUCGGUGGCAUCGGUACCGUGCCCGUGGGCCGUGUUGAGACUGGUGUCCUGAAGCCUGGUAUGGUGGUGACCUUUGGUCCCAGCGGCCUGACCACUGAGGUCAAGUCAGUUGAGAUGCAUCACGAGGCCCUUCAGGAGGCUCUUCCCGGUGACAAUGUUGGGUUCAACGUCAAGAACGUUGCCGUGAAGGAUCUGAAGCGUGGGUAUGUGGCCUCCAACUCCAAGGAUGACCCUGCCAAGGAGGCUGCCAGCUUCACCUCCCAGGUCAUCAUCAUGAACCACCCUGGGCAGAUUGGCAACGGCUAUGCCCCAGUGCUGGACUGCCACACCUCCCACAUUGCUGUCAAGUUUGCCGAGCUGGUGACCAAGAUUGACAGACGAUCUGGCAAGGAGCUCGAGAAGGAGCCCAAGUUCCUCAAGAACGGUGAUGCUGGUAUGGUUAAGAUGAUUCCCACCAAGCCCAUGGUUGUGGAGACCUUCUCUGAGUACCCUCCUCUCGGUCGUUUUGCUGUGCGUGACAUGAGGCAAACGGUGGCUGUCGGUGUCAUCAAGAACGUCGAGAAGAAGGACCCCACCGGUGCCAAGGUGACCAAGGCUGCUGCCAAGAAGAAAUGAGCCUCGUUGAAGUGGUGGCUCCCCUAUCCGCAUUUGAUAUAUCUAGCUGUUUUAGUAUUCGUUAAGUUUUGUUCACGGCCGUGGCACUUGUUGCCCGGACCGUUAAUAUCUGCUCGCAGUGUGCACUAUUAUGUCAGUCGUUUAAAACUCUCGUUUGUUUCUGUUCGGUUAAAACUUAUGUUCCGAGGCUUGGGUAUUAUCCUUUCUUCGGCUGUGGAAUGCGAGUGUUUACAUUGUUAAUUCCCGUCUUCUAUUUUUUUCUCUUCAUUUUUAUGUCGGUGUUUCAACUGUUAGAUUGUUUUUCUAUUUAAUUUUGAUCCAUCGUUCGAUCUUACCGGUUUUGCUAAGCAGAUCAAUUUUCCGUGAUAUUUUUGUGGCGUUAGCUAUAGAAACAGAACCACAAAUUCAAUGAAUCAAACUCUAGUCUCACUGGUCUUACAAAUCAAUAGCGACUUUUAACUAACAAUCUAGCUCUAAUAGCUUUAGGCCGCGUUUGAUAGUUGUGGAUUGUGAGUUAUCCGUGAAAAAAGUAGUAAUCGAUUAAUAUAUAAUUAAUUAAUUAUUAAUAAUUAAAAAAUAUAAAAUAGAUUAAUUUGAUUUUUUUAAAACAAUUUUUCUAUAUAAAAUUUUUUAAAAAAUACACUUUUAGCAGUUCGGAAACGUGCACGCGGAAAAAGAGAGAAGUUAGAUACGCAAAAAUGAUAGUGCUUCUAUGCCGACCGCGGCCUUAGUCUUAUUGCUAUUACAAUAACGCCUUUCACUUUGAUUAAUAUUUGGUGACUUUGGAAUCACUCCGGCGAUUUCUGUAUGCCUGUAUCUACUAAUGUACAACAAACAUUAGCAGACGGGGUUUCUCACCGAUUUGUACAUAUGUUGUCUCGAGAACCAGAUUUAAUUCAGUCCGGAGUUGAGCUUACCCUGUUGUUUUUCCGUGUUCUCAAACAAUCCGUGUUAGCUGUAAAAGUAAAUAAUGCUGACAAAAAAAUGGAGCUCAGGACCAUCAAUCCCUCUAUAUGCACCAGAAAGUUAAUAUUAGAGCUCAUAUGCUACUUGGCACAUCGUGGGACGCACUAGCCAUUUGGAUACAUUGAAAACAGAGGGCGUAAAUAUAAUAGCGGGAGUAAAUACAUUGAAAACAGACGUACUAGCCAUUUGGAUACAUUGAAAAUAGCGGUAGAUAAACAACACCGAAUUUUUUAAUAUAAUAAUUAAUAGCUCAUUAAUUAAAUAUGUAGUAAAUAUAUGUUGACAAUCACCGAACUAGGAUGGACGUUGAUUAUCUUGGCGUCCAGGUGUGGAUGCUGUUCCUCGUAGCUUGCAGGUCUGGACACCUGAACAAGUAGCGUCCAGCAUCCGGGUGCAGCUACACCAGCUUGUUUACGAUGAAAGCUCUACCAUACAUUUACUUAAGCCCUGACCGAUCAUGGCGGUGUUCAAGGCAGUCUGUUGCAAAAGCUGAUUAGCAACACGGAAAACGAUAAACGUAAUUAUUAUAUAAUUAAUUAAGUAUUACUUAUUAAAAAUUUAAAAAUAGAUUUAUUUGAUCUUCUAAAAUAAUUUCUAUAUAAAACAUUUUCGCACGAAAUAUCGUUGCCUGCUCUCGCAAUCACGUUCUGGUGUGCGAGCCCUAGCUCCUUGGGGUCAUGGCGGCAUAUAGGCUUCACCCUCACCAAUCACAUUAGGCGGCGUCUCGCCAGCUGCCACUCGUCAUCAAGGCCACCACUUUCGUCUAUAGGUUAAUUAGAUUCAUGCUAUUAUAAAUUUACCAGUUUUAAAAUAUAUCAUUACAAUUCGACUAAUUGUAAGGAUGCCACUAUAAUUUUAGAACUAUUUCAAAUAUGCCAUUUUAGACCCAAAUUGCCCUUUGCACAUGUCAAGGGCACAGUAAACAUCACAUGGGCAAUAUGGUCUAAUUUUUUUAAAAAAAUACAACGAAAGAGUAUGGAGUGGCAUAUUUUUAAUAGUUCUAAAAUUAUAAUGGCAUUCUUACAAUUAGUCAAAUUGCAAUGGUAUAUUUCAAAACUAGCAAAUUUAUAAUGGCGUACAUCUAAUUAACCCUUCAUCUAUUGCCUAUGUUGAUCACCGACAGCCGUAGCAUUCAUUGUCAGGUAAUGUAUUUUCACUUCAUAUAACUUUGUUGGUUACUUUUUACUUAUCUAUCGGCUUGCAUUAUCUAACAAGUCCAAUCUAUUACUUAAUUAUUAUUAACAUAAUCAUGUCGAAUCAUAUAUAAAGCAUGUCCAUGUAAAGAUCCAAAUAAUAGAAGAAAACAUUUUUAUAUAAUAUACUUGCUUGCGCUCACAUGAACCAACAAAUAUAAGGAUCAGUACAUAGCUAGUAUUAGAUGUUAUACACCCUUGGUUUACUGAUUUUUUUUUUCAUUUGGCAUGUGCGUAGGUGAGAACAAAAUGAUCAUUGUUCUUGGCUAUGCUUAUGGGUGUAUCCAACAUGGAACUAACGGUGCAGACUACAGUAUUCCUCCUAGAUUAACUUUUCCAGCAUCCUCUUUUGUUUUAUCUCUCACCUUUUCUGCUAUUUGUUUUCUAUUGUGACUAUUCGUGUGGAGUCCAAUCGGAGAGAACGACCGCAACGGAAGCUUGACGUCAUUGCAUAUAGCGUCCAGGUCUGGACGUUUUUAUGAGUUGCGACCAUAUCUGGACGCUCUACUAUUCAGCGUACAUCCUAAUAUUGUAAAUCUACCAUGUAGUUUACUAGAUAUUUAAUUAACAGGCCAAUAAUUAUUAUAUAAAAAAAAUUCGGUAAACAGCACCUGAAAGAGAUGGUGUCAUGGCAAAAUCAAAUUGAGGCAGUAGUAGCACUCCAGCAGCAAUGGGAAUGGCUGCUAUGUUAUAUGCCACAGCUCAGGCCAGAUUUGGUGAAUUUUGGCCAUAGUUGCUUUUGAUAGAGCAUCCAUUACCCGCGCCAUAAUUUUUUAUUGUACAUAACUACUAAGGCAAAAAUCUCAUAAGAAAUAUAAUAGGAUCUAGGUCAAUUAGUUAAGUUUCUUACGGUAGAAUUUGUCCUAGAUCUUAGAUCAUCAUAUUUAUAACUAAUUACUCUUUCGAUAGUAAACCAUAUACCCAUCGACAACAAGACGCCCAUGGUGAUUUCGUCAAUAUUAACAUACGUAGGUUCAGUUUUCGAAAGUUCUCAUAGGGGUUUGUCAAUGUUAACAUACAUAGGUUUCGUUUUCGAAAGUUCUCAUAGAGGUUAUUUGUGUGAUUGUGCAUUCAUAGAGGAUGAACGUGGACGCAUCAUUAAUAUUGAUGUUAGUACAGAAUAAAUGUAGUUGGUUGGGUAUCAACAUAAGAUAUAUGUCGGAGAUAUGGGUAUGGGGGUACCCAUAAAUGGUGGAAAGUUGCCCUAAACUCGCGUGGCGUGCCCUGGAAAGGGCCUGAUGUGAGUUCUGGACAUGGGCUUUCUCCAAUGCUAGGGGUUAGGGCGUCCUAACCCCCUUCUCGCCCUGCCGACAUAGCAAGCGGGGACACACGAGUGCCCCUGUAGAAAGAUAAACAGUUCGUCACCUAGAUGUUGGCAUUCGAGGGGAAGUCAGGGCAGCCCCAUGCCCUCCCUGCAUAAGGGCUAGGCGAUCACGGCAGCCCGAUCCCCCUUGGUCUCACGCACGAGGACUAUGGCCACUCGAACCCACGCGGCGCGCCCCCGUAGGGGUUGGGCCCGAGGUUCGGCAAGGAGGCCAACCCCCAUAGAACGGGGUUGGGCCACCUGAAGCCACGUGGCACUAAGCGCGCCCCUAAGGGGGUCGGGCCCGAGGGCUUGCGGGGAGGCCAAGCGCCUUGGGAGGAAGAUUGAGCCACCCCCGCAGCACGGAGGACACACUUGUGAUGUGCCACGCGUACGACCAUGACAGGCCCCCAACGGCCAACUACUCGUAUUUAAUACGCACCAUGAAGUGAGUAAAAAACACUGUGCGCUAUGCUCACUCUCAUCAUAUCGAAGUGACGGGGGCUAUCCCGUCACUUGGACCAAGCGACACGCCUCUGCCAAAAGGCGUGGCCUGUCACCGACCAGUCAUUGUCGCAUUUAAUACCCUUGCGACUCGUGUGAGGGAAAGAGAGCUUCCUCUUUUAUCCACACGGUCCAAGGGUUCACUCUACCUACCCUCUAGCAGAUGGGACCAAACAAGACUGGUGUACAUCCGUAAAUCGCCACAGCGUCAACCAAGAGAAAUGAUGAACUACUAGCCGUAGCCAAACGAUGGUCUAUACAUCAGUAGUCGGUAAGACCAUGGCGAUUGUGGUGUCUCCUUACUGUUAUAAAAGGAGGCCCUGCCCCUCUUAGAAAAGGGAUCGAUCCGAGAAAAACCUUCCCAAAGAAGGCUUGUACUCACUUGCCAAAUAGUGACAAAGCGACAGGAGUAAGGUAUUACGCCUUCUGGCGGCAUGAACCUGUAUAAUUUCUUCUAUGUUCAUUCCUUCUCAGAGACCUUGAUCUAGCUCCCUUAGGCCAAACCAAAAAAGGGGUUCAAUGAACUCCCGCUCGAGGAGCUUGCACUCCAACAGCUGGCGCGUUAGGUAGGAGGUGCGUUGUUUGGGUUUGAAAAUCCCUCCUACUGCCGCUCGAUGGGAGCACCAAGGUCGUGCUCCCACAUGUGGCUAGGGGCUGCGCAGAAGGCGUUGCGGUCGUUGCUCAAUGGGAGCACCAGUGUCGUGCUCUCACACGUGGCCGAGGGCUGCGCAGGAGGCGCGGCCACCGUAGCUAGACGGGAGCACUGGUAGCACACUCACAUGUUGCCGCGUUGGCUUCGACACGGUAGUGCCUGCAAGAUAUCUUCCUCACCAUCACAAACUUCAUAUGACAAGUGUCUUAUUCAUUUUAUUGUCAAUUUCAUAUCAUUGCCUUUAGUUAUUGCUUUGGGAAUCUUUUCCCCUUUAUUUGCUCGCAAGUUUGUAUGUUGCUACCAGGAUACUCUUUCCCCGUCCUCGGUUGUGAGUAGGGACUAGUUAUAGCACUCGCUAGGAUGCUUGGGUUAGAUUGGCUCUGUGUGCUGAGGACAAGUGUUCGCGACGUGGAUUGUGCCUCGAAUACCACCUAAGAUCCGAGGUCUCGAGCAAACCCCCUCCAGGUCGGGGCAGCUUAGAUCUCGACGGAGGAAUAUGGUAUUCUGCCUGGCCAGUUUCAUUCCGGACACUGCCAAUGACCAGGCGCCAUGGGUCACCCACUCAUCCUCACGCAUUGCUCGAACUUGUUCCCCUCUAACCAGAGGUCGAGAAGAGCAAGCCACGUGGUGAGCCAUGCAUAACCCUUGCGAGUAAGCGUUGAGAACAUAAGCCAUAGAUGAUGUUGGGAGACGAAGGAUGGGUGCCCAAGGUGUUGAUCUUUCUUUGAGCAUCCUCGGAGCCCCAAGGUCUCGAGCAAACCCCCACUAAGUCAGGGCAGCUUAAACCCUAGUGGCCGGUGGCCUCGCUCAGAAGAUUAGACCAGUGGUACUGUCGAGGUUCCUCCUAAUGUUUAAUUAUCGGCUAAACCUGAGUUUAUUUUCAAUUCCUCAUAUAUAUUAGUCGGACCCCUUUCUUUUUACUUGAUGUGUGAACGGUUGAGCCAACCAUCAUAAUAAAAGGAUAAUGGGAUAGGUCGUGCCAUUGCACCAAAGGAUGUGUCGGGCAGCGAGCCAUGCCCUGAGCACCACCAGAUCCCGAGGUCUCGAGCAAACCCCCUCCGGGUCGGGGCAACUUAGACCUCAGUGAUGGGUUUGUGGUAUUCAGCCUUUGCACCCGUGCCUUGCCCAAAAUCACUAUAAAAAUCAUGAUAUAACUGCUCACCAAGUGACACUAAGGCGAAAAAGAGAGGUCGGACCGACACAUCUUGCGAUUCUUAUAGAGUUUGUUUUUGUUAGCAUAUGCGCAAGGUGCGAUAUGCAACAUCCGUCAGAUAUGACCCACUAAGGCAGCCCGACGGCCUGCCUAGUUUGAGGGCCAGUCGGUCGCGGUAACAAACCAAAAUGUAAGCCUCCGCCCCGACCCGCUCUGUGGCUCAGCGGUCUGACACGGAGGCGGGGGGCUACUAUCGAUGAUAUGGGUAUGGGGGUAACUAAAAAUGGUGGAAAGUUGCCUUAUCGAUAUGGGCUUACCUCAGAGAGAUCCGAAAAAUGAAUGUGAGCCGAGAAUACUAUUUUUACAGGCAAGAAGAUUAACCUUUAUUUCCAUCUUAAAAAAGUUGAAUUAAUCUACUACUGUUUACUUGCGCCCUGCGAAACCUGCAGAGAUGGGUAAACGUGACGCAAACGUUGAGCACGCCGACCGCACGAUCAAGAUCGAACGGUCAAUACUGCCCCACAACGGCAACCGUCACACGUAGAUCGGGCGGUCAGCAAGGAACCCUAGCACCCAUUCCUCCCUAUAUAAAGGGCCUUCCUCUUGCCCUAACCCCUCCACUGUCCCAGCCGCCGCCGCCGCCGCCUCCUCCUCUCGACUGCUCCCGUCCUCUCCUUCUUCGAGGUCAGCUUCUUCAGAUCUUAUCUCUUCCUCCUGUUAUUCGCCGGUGAUUUUGAGCUGGCGCAUGUUUCUUGAUAUGUAUCCAUGUGUUCGUCUCAUCCUCCGAUCUUUGUCUUGUCGAUAGACUUGAUCUGUUGCCGAAUCAUCUCCAUAUCGAAAAUUGUCGGUAGGAUUGUCGGAUAAAGUUGAUUUGUUGCGAAAUCGUCUGAAGUUGAAAUUAUAGGUAGAAUCGUGUGAAGGAUUUGCAUAUAUAAUCUGUUCGCGUAGAUCUCUUUCAAUUUCUCUGUAAUUUUUAGUCUGCUGCCGAGAGUAGAUGAUAGCUUCAUCUGUCUUAGCACUAGGACAGAUGCAAGACGCCUAACUUUUCCUGAUCUGUGAUUUUACCAUGGUAAUCUUUGUUUAUUCCUUUGUGGUGCUGCAGGCUGCUAGUUCCCUCCUUAUUCAGCCAUGGGUAAGGAGAAGACGCACAUCAACAUUGUGGUCAUUGGCCACGUCGACUCCGGCAAGUCGACCACCACAGGACACCUGAUCUACAAGCUUGGAGGCAUCGACAAGCGUGUGAUCGAGAGGUUCGAGAAGGAAGCCGCCGAGAUGAACAAGAGGUCGUUCAAGUACGCGUGGGUGCUUGACAAGCUCAAGGCCGAGCGUGAGAGAGGUAUCACCAUCGAUAUUGCCCUGUGGAAGUUCGAGACCACCAAGUACUACUGCACUGUCAUCGAUGCCCCUGGACACCGUGACUUCAUCAAGAACAUGAUCACGGGUACCUCCCAGGCUGACUGUGCCGUGCUCAUCAUCGACUCCACCACCGGUGGUUUUGAGGCUGGUAUCUCCAAGGAUGGCCAGACCCGUGAGCAUGCCCUUCUUGCUUUCACUCUUGGAGUGAAGCAGAUGAUCUGCUGCUGCAACAAGGUAUAUCUUUGGUGUUUGUCCUUUUGUUUUGAUUGAUGAGCACAACACUUGUUGAACGUAUUAAUUAUGCUGGUUCAGAUUCUUUUACUUUCAUCAUAGAACAUGACUAUAUUGUACUGAUCUCUCAUUGGGAUUUUCGUGUGACUGUGCUAACUAUGCAUUGAUUUCCUGUUACUUUAAGCACUAGUGAUUAGUGAUUAAAUAGUGCUGCAUAAAACACAACUCUUCUGCUUAAUUUGUUUAAAUUACUCAUUUAAAAUCAUAAAUCGAUUGUUUUCUAUUUAAUUUUUAUUUAAUUUUUCUGAAUAGUUAGUCUAUUUUUCUGUUUCUAUUCUACUGGAAGUAGCAGCUGCACAUUGCUGCAUUACAUCUUAUGGUCACUAUGUUUAAUUUUGUGCAUAGUAAAUGAUGUUAAUUAUCUAUUUCAAAUCAUACAUCUAUCUUGUUUGGUUGCCAACCCCUUGUUGAGAAGUAGUUGGUUUAUUCUCUUUUGUUCUGUUGCAGAUGGAUGCCACCACCCCUAAGUACUCCAAGGCCCGUUAUGAUGAAAUCGUGAAGGAAGUCUCUUCCUACCUCAAGAAGGUUGGCUACAACCCUGACAAGAUUCCUUUCGUUCCCAUCUCUGGGUUCGAGGGUGACAACAUGAUUGAGAGGUCGACCAACCUUGACUGGUACAAGGGCCCUACUUUGCUUGAGGCUCUCGACCAGAUCAAUGAGCCCAAGAGGCCUUCAGACAAGCCCCUGCGUCUUCCCCUUCAGGACGUGUACAAGAUCGGUGGUAUCGGUACCGUGCCUGUGGGUCGUGUUGAGACUGGUGUCCUGAAGCCUGGUAUGGUGGUGACCUUUGGUCCCAGCGGCCUGACCACUGAGGUCAAGUCAGUUGAGAUGCACCACGAGGCCCUCCAGGAGGCUCUUCCUGGUGAUAACGUAGGGUUCAAUGUCAAGAACGUUGCCGUGAAGGAUCUGAAGCGUGGGUACGUGGCCUCCAACUCGAAGGAUGACCCUGCCAAGGAGGCUGCCAGCUUCACCUCCCAGGUCAUCAUCAUGAAUCACCCUGGGCAGAUUGGCAACGGCUAUGCCCCAGUGCUGGACUGCCACACCUCCCACAUUGCCGUCAAGUUUGCUGAGCUUGUGACCAAGAUUGACAGACGAUCUGGCAAGGAGCUCGAGAAGGAGCCCAAGUUCCUCAAGAACGGUGAUGCUGGUAUGGUUAAGAUGAUUCCCACCAAGCCCAUGGUUGUGGAGACCUUCUCUGAGUACCCUCCUCUCGGUCGUUUUGCUGUGCGUGACAUGAGGCAAACGGUGGCUGUCGGUGUCAUCAAGAACGUCGAGAAGAAGGACCCCACCGGUGCCAAGGUGACCAAGGCUGCUGCCAAGAAGAAAUGAGCCUCAGCCUCGUUGAAGUGGUGGCUCCCCUAUCGGCAUUUGAUAUAUCUAGCUGAUUUAGUGUUCGUUAAGUUUUGUCCACGGCCGUGGCACUUGUUGCCAGGACCGUUAAUAUCUGCUCGCACUGUGCACUAUUAUGUCAGUUGUUUAAAACUCUCGUUUGUUUCUGUUCG